CCUACGGGAGGCAGCAGUGGGGAAUUUUCCGCAAUGGGCGAAAGCCUGACGGAGCAAGACCGCGUGGGGGAAGAAGGCUCUUGGGUUGUAAACCCCUUUUCUCUGGGAAGAACAAAAUGACGGUACCAGAGGAAUCAGCAUCGGCUAACUCCGUGCCAGCAGCCGCGGUAAGACGGAGGAUGCAAGCGUUAUCCGGAAUGAUUGGGCGUAAAGCGUCCGCAGGUGGCAGUUCAAGUCUGCUGUCAAAGACCGGGGCUUAACCUCGGAAAGGCAGUGGAAACUGAACAGCUAGAGUAUGGUAGGGGCAAAGGGAAUUCCUGGUGUAGCGGUGAAAUGCGUAGAGAUCAGGAAGAACAUCGGUGGCGAAGGCGCUUUGCUGGACCAUAACUGACACUCAGGGACGAAAGCUAGGGGAGCGAAUGGGAUUAGAUACCCCAGUAGUCCUAGCCGUAAACGAUGGAUACUAGGUGUUGUCUGUAUCGACCCGGACAGUGCCGUAGCUAACGCGUUAAGUAUCCGCCUGGGGUGUACGCNCGCAGUGUGAACGUACGAAGAAGUAGACGGCGUGAGACGNGCCGACGACGACGACGAGGGAGUAGG
rnacentral:rRNA from 1 species